rnacentral:rRNA from 1 species
AUUGAACGCUGGCGGCAUGCCUUACACAUGCAAGUCGAACGGUAACAGGUCUUCGGAUGCUGACGAGUGGCGAACGGGUGAGUAAUACAUCGGAACGUGCCUAGUAGUGGGGGAUAACUACUCGAAAGAGUGGCUAAUACCGCAUGAGAUCUACGGAUGAAAGCAGGGGAUCGCAAGACCUUGUGCUACUAGAGCGGCCGAUGGCAGAUUAGGUAGUUGGUGGGAUAAAAGCUUACCAAGCCGACGAUCUGUAGCUGGUCUGAGAGGACGAUCAGCCACACUGGGACUGAGACACGGCCCAGACGCCUACGGGAGGCAGCAGUGGGGAAUUUUGGACAAUGGGCGCAAGCCUGAUCCAGCAAUGCCGCGUGCAGGAUGAAGGCCUGCGGGUUGUAAACUGCUUUUGUACGGAACGAAAAGCCCUGGGUUAAUACCCUGGGGUCAUGACGGUACCGUAAGAAUAAGCACCGGCUAACUACGUGCCAGCCGCCGCAGUAAUAC